AGAGUUUGAUUAUGGCUCAGGAUGAACGCUGGCGGCGUGCCUAACACAUGCAAGUCGAACGGGAUAAGAGAUGCUUGCAUUUCUUAUCAAGUGGCGGACGGGUGAGUAACGCGUGGAUAAUCUGCCCUACACAGGGGGAUAACAGCCGGAAACGGCUGCUAAUACCGCAUAGACUGAGCUCUCGCAUGAGAGAACAGGGAAAGAUUUAUCGGUGUAGGAUGAAUCCGCGUCCGAUUAGCUAGUUGGAGGGGUAACGGCCCACCAAGGCGACGAUCGGUAGCCGGCCUGAGAGGGCGACCGGCCACAUUGGGACUGAGACACGGCCCAGACUCCUGCGGGAGGCAGCAGUGGGGAAUAUUGCACAAUGGGGGGAACCCUGAUGCAGCGACGCCGCGUGAGUGAAGAAGUAUUUCGGUAUGUAAAGCUCUAUCAGCAGGGACGAAGAUGACGGUACCUGCAGAAGAAGCCCCGGCUAACUACGUGCCAGCAGCCGCGGUAAUACGUAGGGGGCAAGCGUUAUCCGGAUUUACUGGGUGUAAAGGGAGCGUANACGGCAGGGCAAGCCAGAAGUGAAAACGCAGAGCUUAACUUUGCGACUGCUUUUGGAACUGCCCAGCUAGAGUACAGGAGAGGUAAGUGGAAUUCCUAGUGUAGCGGUG
rnacentral:rRNA from 1 species